rnacentral:rRNA from 1 species
GUGAAUCAUCGAAUCUUUGAACGCACCUUGCGCUCCUUGGUAUUCCGAGGAGCAUGCCUGUUUGAGUGUCAUGAAAUUCUCAACUGCCCCAGGCUUUGUGGCCUGCGGGUGAAGUUGGACUUGGAGGUAUGCUGGCGCAUGAAUGGGCUUUUGUGCCCCGUCUCGCUUGUUGGCUCCUCUCGAAUGCAUGAGCUUUCCAAUCCUUGGCAAAGUAUCGUCGAUGUGAUAAUUGUCUACGUCGCCUGAGAAAGCCGAAAAGGGGAAAUCUUUGAUCACGCUGGGGUGACCUGCGUCUGACAAAUUCGACCUCAAAUCAGGUAGGACUACCCGCUGAACUUAAGCAUAUCAAUAAGCGGAGG